rnacentral:lncRNA from 1 species
GUUCACUAAAGAGUUAGGUUGAUGGCAAUAUUUUGUGAUUUCCAUAGUUUUGCCCUGGUGUUUGAGUAAUGCCCACAGCAGGCAGGCACUGGUCCCUACCCAAUGAAAAAGCCCAUCUCAGCUGGUCCCCUCUGCCCUGUGCCUGUGAUGCUCUUUCUGGAAGGUGACUUUAGGGCUGUAAUGGAUGGUAAAAUGUGAGAACUGGUAGCUGGCACCAGCAGGCAUGCCCGCCCCUCACCCCUACUGGUCAGACCCAGGAGAGGUGUCAGUCAGCUGUGAUUAAUGUAUUUGGUCUCAGGGUGUGAGCUUCCCGAAUUUAAUUUUGAGCCUUUAAGUUGUUAAUAUGUCUUUCCAGAAAAAUAUUUAUGAACUUUAACUUCAGUCUCUGAAUUAGAUGUGUCCUACUCUCUUUAAUCCUAGUAGUUAAAAAAAAAAAAUCCACUGGCUGAGGGCACCAGCGUGGUGGCACACGACUGUAAUCCCUGUACUCAGGAGCCUGAGAUAGGAGGAGCUCAAGCCCGAGGACACCCUGAACUACUUGGCUUUGCAACCAGCCUGGGUUGUGGGAGUGGAAACUGGCCGAGAUGAUUGAGAAUGAACACUGGGCAGUGAGGACCUUAAGCUUGAAGGUUUUUGGAACAUGAGCUGGACCUGAGAACUUCAAGAGUGUAUGUGUUCCAUCAGGAAGGAAUCCACCCAUGGAGCCUGGCUCACCUGGCCAUGUUAAUAGCUGUUCUCUUUAAUGCACCAAGAAGCAUUUGCAGACCAUGUGGCCUUGGCUCCUCUGGACAGCCUUUAGAGGAUGUAAAACCAGCUGAAAGACAAAGCAAGGCCUCCCUGCA